rnacentral:lncRNA from 1 species
UCUGUAUAAGUAGUGCAACAUAUGCAUUGAUAAUAAAUAUUUUGUAUGAUUUUUACACUGAAUUACGCACAGUUUAGUAUAUUACGCAAAAAUAAUAUAUUAUAUUACAACAUACUAUAAAAAUUAUAUAAUAUAUGUACAAACGGUGCAUAUUUUAUACUAUUUGUGUAGAUAUUUACACCAUUUGUGUAAAUGUUGCACUAUAAUGAGAGGAUGUUGCAUCCUUUAGAUGUGUGUUGCACUCUUUCUUUUUGAAAAUUAAAUUUCAUUGCAUAUUAAAUAAAAUAUAAAACUUCUUGAAAAUGACAACUGCUAAGUCAUAAUUACAUACAUGUACCUUUCUCUUGAAACGAGAAACCUCAUUCAAGAGAAAAUAAAAAAUAUAAAGAAUAAUUAAUAAGAUGAAAGAGUGCAAUAUUCUCUCAAAUAGUGCAACAAUUUCUUCAAAAUAGUGCAAUAUCUAUAUAAGUAGUGCAUCAUUUGCAUUGUUAAUAUACAUUUUGUAUGAUUUUUAUACUAAAUUACGCACAGUUUAGUAUAUUACGUAAAAAUAAUAUAUUAUAUUACAACAUACUAUAAAAAUUAUAUAAUAUAUGUACAAACGGUGCAUAUUUUAUACUAUUUGUGUAGAUAUUUACANAAGAAUAAUUAGUAAGAUGAAAGAGUGCAACAUCCUCUCAAAUAGUGCAACAAGCUCUUCAAAAUAGUGCAAUAUCUGUAUAAGUAGUGCAACAUACGCAUUGUUAAUACACAUUUUACAUAAUUUUUACACUAAAUUACAUACAGUUUAAUAUAUUACGCGAAAAUAAUAUGCAACAUAUAAUAUAAUAAACUGUAUGUAAUUAAUUUAGUAUAAAAAUCAUACAAAAUGUGUAUUAACAAUGCAUAUGUUGCACUAUAUAUACAGAUAUUUCACUAUUUUGAAGAGCUUGUUACACUAUUUGAGAGGAUAUUGCACUCUUUCAUCUUAUUAAUUAUUCUUUAUUCUUUUUAUUUUCUCUUAAAUGAGGUUUCUCGUUUCACCAGAAAGGUACAUGCAUGUAAUUAUGGCUUAGCAAUUGUCAUUUUUAAGAAAUUUUACACUUUAUUUAAUAUGCAAUGAAAUUUAAUUUUUUUAAAAAAAGAGUGCAACAUACAUCUAAAUGGUGCAAUAUCCUUUCAUAAUAGUACAACAUUUACACAAAUUGUGUAAAUAUCUGUACAAAUAGUAUAAAAUAAGCACCGUUUGUACAUAUAUUGUAUAAUUUUUAUAGUAUGCUGUAAUAUAUUAUAUUAUUUUCGGGUAAUAUACUAAACUGUGCGUACUUUAGUGUAAAAAUCAUGUAAAAUGUGUAUUAACAAUGCAUAUGUUGCACUACUUAUACAGAUAUUGCACUAUUUUAAAAAGCUUGUUGCACUAUUUGAGAGGAUGUUGCUCUCUUUCAUUUUAUUAAUUAUUCUUUAUUCUUUUUAUUUUCUCUUGAAUGAGAUUUCUCGUUUCACGAGAAAGAUACAUACAUGUAAUUAUGNUUCUUUUUAUUUUCUCUUGAAUGAGAUUUCUCGUUUCACGAGAAAGAUACAUACAUGUAAUUAUGACUUAGCAGCUGUCAUUUCCAAAAAGUUUUACAUUUUAUUUAAUAUGCAAUAAAAUUUAAUUUUCAAAAAGAAAGAGUACAACACGCAUCUAAAUGGUGCAACAUCCUCUCAUAAUAAUGCAACAUUUACACAAAUAGUGUAAAUAUAUGUAUAAAUAGUGUAAAAUAUGCACCGUUUGUACAUAUAUUGUAUAAUUUUUAUAGUAUGUUGUAAUAUAUUAUAUUAUUUUCGCGUAAUAUACUAAACUGUGCGUAAUUUAAUGUAAAAAUCAUGCAAAAUGUUUAUUAACAAUACAUAUGUUGCACUAAUUAUACAGAUAUUGCACUAUUUUGAAGAGCUUGUUGUAUUAUUUGAGAGGAUGUUGCACUCUUUCAUCUUAUUAAUUAUUCUUUUUUUUUAUUUUGUCUUGAAUGAGGUUUCCCGUUUCACGAGAAUGGUACAUAUAAUUAUGACUUAGCAUAUGAAUUUUGAAAGAGGGGUAGUUUGAUCAUCCUUCUGAAAAUUCGGCUCGAAUAUGCAAAAACUAAAAAGAUGGUCCCCUUUUGCAAAAGCGCAAAAUUAGUGAAUUUUUUUAU